GACCCUCUCUCAGCCCUGAGGCUGAGGACCGCCUGGAGAAGGCACAUCCAAGAGAAGUCCUCGGCAGUGUGCGGGAGGCCCUCGAGGAGUGGUCCUAGGACAGAAGCAGCGUGAAGGGAAAGAUCACCCACAGCUGAACUGCUAGGAGCAAUGAUGUAGGAAGCACGUCCAUCAGGAAUGGAAGUCAGGCUUUUGAAUUUGGACCUCGGAAGCUCUCUCAGACAGGAAGAUCUGCAGUCAUACUUGGGCCAGAGCUCUAUUCUAAAGGAAUGGCUUCCCUGGCUUCUGGAUGUUGACAGCAUUCACAAGACAGAAGACAGGAGGAGGAACAAAAUGUGCCCAGGAAUAUAAUGACCAGGUCCCUUCUGGAAACUCCAGGAUGAGAGGAAAGGAGAAAACAGCAAAUAAGGUUCAUUUUUAACCUUGGCGAGGCCGGCAAACCCUGGACAUAAGACACCAGUGUAACUGAGCCAUUAA